GGGGAACCAGGACUUUUACUGUGAAAAAAUUAGAGUGCUCCAGGCAGGCCUAUGCUCGAAUACAUUAGCAUGGAAUAAUAGAAUAGGACGUGUGGUUCUAUUUUGUUGGUUUCUAGGACCGCCGUAAUGAUUAAUAGGGACAGUCGGGGGCAUCAGUAUUCAAUUGUCAGAGGUGAAAUUCUUGGAUCUAUUGAAGACUAACUACUGCGAAAGCAUUUGCCAAGGAUGUUUUCAUUGAUAAGGAACGAAAGUUAGGGGAUCGAAGACGAUCAGAUACCGUCGUAGUCUUAACUAUAAACUAUGCCGACUAGGGAUCGGACGAUGUUAUCUUUUGACGCGUUCGGCACCUUUCGAGAAAUCAAAGUGCUUGGGCUCCAGGGGGAGUAUGGUCGCAAGGCUGAAACUUAAAGAAAUUGACGGAAGGGCACCACCAGGGGUGGAACCUGCGGCUUAAUUUGACACAACACGGGGAAACUCACCAGGUCCAGACACAGUGAGGAUUGACAGAUUGAGAGCUCUUUCUUGAUUCUGUGGGUGGUGGUGCAUGGCCGUUCUUAGUUGGUGGAGUGAUUUGUCUGCUUAAUUGCGAUAACGAACGAGACCU
rnacentral:rRNA from 1 species